UCUGAAUUAGGAACUAAUCGUGCAUCGUAUGAGGCUGGACCGCGAUCACGUAUAUGUCCCCAAUGGCGAAGAGAUAUACGUGACCCUAUAAUAGAGAAGCAGGUGGUACAAUCGGAUUGGCAGACUUGGAAAGGUGAUUCUGGUAUAUUGUGCUAUAACUUCAAAGAGUUAUUCCAAGUACGGUGAACAGAUGGAUGCCCGUAAGUCAUGACAAAACUUUUCUCAAUUCCCGGAUGCAGUUUUUAGUUUUCUACAACUUCCCAGUUCAUAAGAAAUCAUCGUUUAUUUAUUGAAUGAUGCAAUAUUGCUACAGAUAAGUUAUUGAUAUUUAUUUCUCCUCAAAGAGAACAAGUUUUAUUUUGAUGAAAAAUAUUCAGCUGUGCUAGACGCAUAUCUUAGAACACAGAAAAUAAUUCAAUUUUGCUCAUAACGCGGGAUAAUUGGACCGAAACUUUCAAAUAAUACACAAUUGUUGCAUUCAAAUUUACCCCUCAGGCACUUGACCCUUAUAUAAUGGUGAAUGCAGAGAUGUCGAACAUUUACGCUUGCCUACAUCAUAAUUCACUCAAACAAAGUUGUAGUGAUUCCGGCGAAUUUUUGAUGAAGGUCUCAAAAGACCAACUAUAAGGAAAUUGGGAUGAAAGAGGGUGAAUUGAUAAGGUUUGUAUUGAUGGCCCUCGGCCAUGGGUCUAGUGCUAUAAUUCAAUAUGGUUUAAUGGAUUGUAAACCCCGAUGGCCAAGAGAGAUAACCGCUUUAAAUGUGGUUUCAAUGACCCGUUGAAUGCAGAGUGAUGUUCAUCAUUACUUUCAAUUUAUCGAUUGACUCCACCGUGGAGUCAGCGUCUUGUAACUUUGACGGACGUUGUCGUAAUGGAAUUUAUAACAUCUAUCCGAGUAGAGCAAUUUUGAUACGCGAAUUUGGUUAUCGACAGGUUAAUCACGUCAGGUGAUUGAACGUCAAUAGUGUUAUGAAUACAGGAUGAUGUUACUCUUACAUUGAAUGUGAGCACUUACUAAGACAAAAUCGAUUACAUGAUUUAAUGAUAACAGCAUCCAACCAAAUUCGGUCAAACUGUCUGCCAGAGAUGGAACUGAUGAAACUGUAAUCAUUUCAUGGAUUUUUUUACGCUAAAUUCAAAGGUAUUUAACGAAUUUCGCUACUACGUCAGGUUUAAAAUGAAAAAAGUUGAAGAUUGGAAAAUAAAUGAAAUAAACGUUGCGAAGGAAUAAAAGACUUCCUAAUAUCACAUCAAAACGGAUGGAAAAAAAUAAUUUCGAAAGAUUGAGCUCUCAUGUGAAAUAAAUUUCCCCUGAAACCGAAGCUCUGUUAGAAAAAAACUGAUAC